rnacentral:rRNA from 1 species
AGAGUUUGAUCCUGGCUCAGAACGAACGCUGGCGGCAGGCUUAACACAUGCAAGUCGAGCGCCCCGCAAGGGGAGCGGCAGACGGGUGAGUAACGCGUGGGAACAUACCCUCCGGUUCGGAAUAGCUCAGGGAAACUUGGAUUAAUACCGGAUACGGUCGAGAGGCGAAAGAUUUAUCGCCGGAGGAUUGGCCCGCGUUCGAUUAGCUAGUUGGUGAGGUAACGGCUCACCAAGGCGACGAUCGAUAGCUGGUCUGAGAGGAUGAUCAGCCACAUUGGGACUGAGACACGGCCCAAACUCCUACGGGAGGCAGCAGUGGGGAACAUUGGACAAUGGGCGCAAGCCUGAUCCAGCCAUGCCGCGUGAGUGAUGACGGCCUUAGGGUUGUAAAGCUCUUUCGCUAGGGACGAUAAUGACGGUACCUAGACAAGAAGCCCCGGCUAACUUCGUGCCAGCAGCCGCGGUAAUACGAAGGGGGCUAGCGUUGUUCGGAAUUACUGGGCGUAAAGCGCGUGUAGGCGGGCUUUUAAGUCAGGGGUGAAAUGCCAAGGCUCAACCUUGGAACUGCCUUUGAUACUGGAAGUCUUGAGUCCGGGAGAGGUGAGUGGAACUGCGAGUGUAGAGGUGAAAUUCGUAGAUAUUCGCAAGAACACCAGUGGCGAAGGCGGCUCACUGGCCCGGAACUGACGCUGAGACGCGAAAGCGUGGGGAGCAAACAGGAUUAGAUACCCUGGUAGUCCACGCUGUAAACGAUGGAUGCUAGCCGUUGGGGAGCUUGCUCUUCAGUGGCGCAGCUAACGCUUUAAGCAUCCCGCCUGGGGAGUACGGUCGCA